rnacentral:rRNA from 1 species
UACAGAGGUGGCAAGCGUUGUUCGGAAUUACUGGGCGUAAAGGGCGCGUAGGCGGUUUCGUAAGUCCCGUGUGAAAGCCCCCGGCUCAACUGGGGAAUUGCACGGGAAACUGCGAGGCUUGAGUUCGGGAGAGGGAAGCGGAAUUCCGGGUGUAGCGGUGAAAUGCGUAGAUAUCGGGAGGAACACCGGUGGCGAAGGCGGUUCUCUGGGCCUGUACUGACGCUGAGGAGCGAAAGCGUGGGGAGCGAACAGG